rnacentral:rRNA from 1 species
UACAGAGGGUGCGAGCGUUAAUCGGAAUUACUGGGCGUAAAGGGCGCGUAGGCGGUUUAUUAAGUUAGCUGUGAAAUCCCUGGGCUUAACCUAGGAACUGCAACUAAAACUGAUGAGCUGGAGUGCGGUAGAGGAUAGCGGAAUUUCCGGUGUAGCGGUGAAAUGCGUAGAUAUCGGAAGGAACACCAGUGGCGAAGGCGGCUAUCUGGACUGACACUGACGCUGAGGCGCGAGAGCGUGGGUAGCAAACAGG